UUAUGAUUAAUUUAUAAUUUUUGAAAAAAUUUGGGACUAUAAUUGCAAUUAAUUCUUUAUUUUUUCUUUUCUUUUCUUUUUGUUUCAUUUCAAUGGAGGGUAAAAUCGUCAAAAGGACCUUCUGUGCAAAGAAAUGUGAAAGGUAGUGACAAAAAUGUCAAAAAUGAAAGGUAGGAAUGUUUUCAACAAUAAACUUGAAAGGUCGGGACGUUUUGUACCAAUUACCCUUUCUUCAAACUGAAAACAUGAAUAUUGAUGGUUCUAUCGACCUCUUAUAAGGACUUGUUUCAUUUCUUAAAAAUUAUAGAGAAAUCGGAUUUAUUAUUGCCAUGGAUGAAGUGAUGAAAAAGGCAAAUGAAACGGGAAUUGAAGCUGUAUUUCAAGAGAAAUGCAUAAAUCGAAGAAAUAGAAGUAGUUUGGUGAAAGUGGCAAUGAUGAGAUAAAGUAAUUAGCCGAGGAAUCUUUUAGUGUUGAAUACUUUCUUUUUAUAAUCGAUCAAGCUUGAUCUUUUCUAAGGACUUGAUUUGAAUAAUUUAAACAAUAUGAAGAGAUGUUUGGAUUUUUAUUUUAUGUGGAGAGGUUAAGGCUUGCAACCUUUCCCAAUUUGUUGAAGUCUUGUACGAAGAGGAUUUAUAUUCAUAGUUACUAAUCUUGAAGUGCUAUAUACCAACUAAAGCAACGAGAACAAUUGAAGUGCUACAACAUUUGAAGACAUUGAAUGGUUGUUUCCCAAAUGCUUAUAUUUCUUAUAAAAUUUUGUUAACCAUUCUAGUUACAAUUGCAUCCGCAGAAAGAAGUUUCUCCAAAUUGAAGUUGAUUAAGGCUUAUCUUCAAUCAACCAUGUUACAAAAAAGACUGAAUGGAUUAGCUAUGUUAUCAAUUGAAAAAAAAAAAAGAUUGAACAGCUAGAUUAUUCAAAUUUGAUUACUAUUUUUGCCUCUAAAAAUGUAAGGCGAAUGGUAAUUAAUUGAACAUUAGGA
rnacentral:lncRNA from 1 species